rnacentral:rRNA from 1 species
AUUGAACGCUGGCGGCAGGCCUAACACAUGCAAGUCGAGCGGAUGAAGGGAGCUUGCUCCUGGAUUCAGCGGCGGACGGGUGAGUAAUGCCUAGGAAUCUGCCUGGUAGUGGGGGAUAACGUCCGGAAACGGGCGCUAAUACCGCAUACGUCCUGAGGGAGAAAGUGGGGGAUCUUCGGACCUCACGCUAUCAGAUGAGCCUAGGUCGGAUUAGCUAGUUGGUGGGGUAAAGGCCUACCAAGGCGACGAUCCGUAACUGGUCUGAGAGGAUGAUCAGUCACCCUGGAACUGAGACACGGUCCAGACUCCUACGGGAGGCAGCAGUUGGGAAUAUUGGACAAUGGGCGAAAGCCUGAUCCAGCCAUGCCGCGUGUGUGAAGAAGGUCUUCGGAUUGUAAAGCACUUUAAGUUGGGAGGAAGGGCAGUAAGUUAAUACCUUGCUGUUUUGACGUUACCAACAGAAUAAGCACCGGCUAACUUCGUG